UUUAAUUGAAUUCAUAAGUUACACACUGAGUUAAUUGAUAUUUUUGUAUACAAAUAUUUGAUAUUACUGUUUAAUUGAUAUUUUUGUUUCUAUAUACAGAAGAAAUUUACUUAUUGGAUUACAUAUCAAAUAUGUGUAUAAAAAAUAAUUUAUACAAAAACAGAGCAUCAAAUAAUGGGUUUUAUACUAAUUCAGAUCAUACAGACCCCACAAUAGACCUACGUUUGAUUUGAACAACAUUUACGACCCUAGAAAAAAAUCUCGAUUUUUGACCCACACGCCCGUGUGGAUUGACGCGGCCUAGAUUGCAGGAUCGUGUGGUCCACACAAUUUGACACGUUCCUGUGUAGCUCAUCAUAGUGUCCCACACAGCUUAACACACGACUUGACACAAGACCGUGUGGUUCAAGUCGGUCUCUCGCACAGCCUAGACACACGCUCGUAUGUUUUCAAAUUAAAAUAGUAGCUCACACGGCUGGGACAUACGCCCAUGUCUCUGGCCUAUGUAGUUCAAAACAAAAUAGUCUCUAGCACAGCCUAAACACACAUUCGUGUCCCUGGUCAUGUGACCCAAGUUAGUGUUUCACACAUUCUGUAGCACCCCAAACCCGGCCCAGAAGUUAUGGCCAGAUCCAGCAUGCCACAUCAAAAACGUAAAAAAAAAUUUCCAUUCUAAGUCCAGAAAAUCGUACUUGAUGUUCAAAAGAUUAAUUCAUUAAAGGUUAAAGUGAAUGGAAGCUGUGCACCAGGUAGGAAACCGGAAAAGAGGUGGUGAGUCCAUCGGACUGCUUAAGUACCAAGCUCCCUUCGGAUCCAAUCCUAGACAUGCAUACCACCAUUGCCACACUUUAACGUCAUGGAUAUUUCUAGGAAACCGAUUUGAUUAAGUCAUUUUUAGGAAAAGUGAUUAAUUUUAGAAAAUACUUUCAUUGCGGAAGCUUUGCUUGUUGUCGUGUUAUUUUGAAAUCAACUGUUCUUUUUGAAAACGCGCCCUAAAGCUAUCCAAUUUCAACAGUUAAAAUAAGUAUUACCUAUCUUAGUAAUACAUAUAAAAAAAACAUCAAAAAUAAAUAAGCGGCCUUAUUACAUUUAAAAACCCAAAACUUCAAACGUAAAUAAAAGGAUGUCCAGUUCACCAGAAGAAAAUCAAACUUUCAGAACAGGUGGCCACCCCGAAUUCCCUCACAGCUCCAAGCCCACUAUGGUUGGGGAUUACCUGCGUGGAUGAAAAUAAAAGGGGUGAGUUUGGGGAAACUCAGUGUGUAAAUUAACCCAACCAUAGCCUAUAUCAGCUUAAACCACAGAAAUAGAAUAAGUUGGCCUUAGCCCAGAACAGAAUUCAAAAUAAAUCCCAUAGGCCCAUAACAGAACAGAACAGAUAUUACAUGUUUAUGCAGAAACCCAACCAUAUCCAACCGUAUACACCCCCGUACCAACCUUACACCGUGUGGGGAGACAACUCGACCCACCCAACCGCUACACACCACAGAAUUUGCAGCAUGGCUGCUAGAACAGAUAAUGUGACAGAGUCACCAGAUACAGAUAAUCGUGGCAGAGCCGCCAGAACAGAUAUAUGUGGCAGAGCCACCAGAUCAGAUAUUUGUGGCAUAGCCACCAGAAUGCUUCCUCCAUAAUAUAACCCAUGUCCCCAUGCAAUAGAUAUAUAAUCAUGGCAUACAUCAUACAGAAUCAGAUCGUCAUGCUUUUCAGUCAAAAUUAACCCUAGGGGUAUAACGGUAAUUUUGCACCUAGGGGUAUAACAGUAAUUUUCCAUACAUAGGGGUAUUAUAGUAAUUUAGCUACUUUUAGGAUUUUCAUGCAUAUCCUAACUAUUUACGUACUAUCAGAACACUUACCGCACAUACUUACUGAAUUGGGCCCGUUGGCCCAUGAACCCGAUCUUUGGCCCAUUAAGCCCAAAUUAUCAAAAUGUACGAAAUCGCGCGUACUGCAGUUUAUUACUUUAGAUUACCAAAUAUACAAACCCAACUAUCUUACGAGCAUUCGCACACUCGCAAAUUCCCAAAAUACUGACUUUUCAGCUUUUUGGCUUUUGCCAAUCUAGUCCAUGAGAGGGUGUCAGUUACACACCUGUUUGCGACGAUAUGCUGACGAGAUCCACACACGAACCGCCUACAAUUGGAUUACUAACACGUUAAUCUAACUAUUCAAAUACGAACUACGUAUUAACCCCUUACAAUAUUCGGCCAACCACACCUACAGAUCAUAGUAAGCUUAUAAGAAAUCAAUAAGCAACUCAUUAACAAAUUUUUGUCAAUGUUUACCACAUAAUCAUAAUUUCACUGCAAGCUGUCCUCCUGAGCAACAGUCACUAAAUUAUUUAUAACUGGAGCUACGAAACUCCAACUCAAGUGCCGUUAAUUUUCCCUGAAAAUAGACUCAUAUAUCUUUUAUCCAUAAAAUUUUCAGAAUUUUUGGUAUGACCAAUCAAUACCAGAUUUUUCUUAAAGUUUCCCAUGUUUCAAUGUUUGACUAAUCUGACCACUCUUCAUUACGAAUCAAAUUUCUCAUUGUACAGAAUUCAAAAUAUGUUCUUGUUUAUUUUAUUAGAAACUAGACUCAAUAAGAUUUAAUUACAUAAUUUAUUCAGCUUCUAAUUCAUCUCCCACAAUUUAUGGUGAUUUUCCAAAGUCACGUUACUGCUGCUGUCCCAAGCAGAUUUUUUACCAAAUCACUCUUUCACACAUACCUUGCAUGCUUGUUAUUUAAACAUGUAUAUCACCAAUCGAUCAUCACAUAUCUAUGAUUUUAUUUAAGUACAAUCUCCAUUUCAUCAUUUUAAAGCACAACACGUUAGCUGAUUUUUCCCUUUAACAUCUAAGGCACAUGCAUGCUUAUUUGUUUGGCUCAACUUCACCUAUCUUCUAUUUUUCAUCAAAAGAACAUGAAACAACAACCAUUUCCUUCAUUUUAAUUCAUGACUAAAUGCUCACAACACAACUAAAAAUCAAAAUAUACUUCAAGAGUUAAGGUAAAAUCAAGAAGAACUAAUGAACCUCAAAAUAGAAGCAAGGUACCAAGAACUUACCGUCAACUUUCCUCCUCCUAAUGACCAAAUACUCAAGAGCUUUCUCCUCUCCUUUCUCUUCUCUAACUUUCAGCUAUGAUGAACAAAGAUGGACAAAACUUUGUUCUUUUCACCCCUUUUUCUUUUAAUAAAACUUCAUAUUUCAUCCAUUUAAUUCUUUAAUACAAAAGACAUGAAAUUCUUAUCAUGAAACAUUUACCUAACCCAUUAUCAUGAAACAUUUACCUAACCCAUUAUCAUGGAACAUUUACCUAACCUAUUAUCAUUGAACAUUUACCUAACCUAUUAUCAAUUUGUAUCAAUUUGUACCAUAAAUUAUGGAUAUCAAGUGUACAUUUUGUCUACAACAACAUGAUGGCUGGCCACUUCAUGUAAAAUGGGAGGUUUGUCAUGCAAAUCCUCCUAUUUUGCACUCUUAUUUAUUUGGCCACUUCAAUUUAGCCUAUAACAUUUUCAAACAUUUUCACAUAGGUCCUAUUUCAUAAUUUCACCCCGUUUUUCUUAUGGAACAAAAAUUAACUAAAAUUGUCGGGUUCUAUCUUAAGCUUGGGCUUUCUAGAGGCCCACUAACAUAAUUAAACCUAUGCCAACAUUCACAGGAUUCCCGAAAAUUGGGGCGUUACAACUUUACCCUCCUUAAAGAAAUUUCGUCCUCGAAAUUUACCUAUACCAAACAGAUGAGGGUAUUGCUAUUGCAUCGUCUCUUAUGGCUCCCAAACUCAGAAGUUUCCCCUUCCUUAACUUGUUGAAAACGAGUGACCAAAGACUCAUCGUUCAACUGUUUUUCCUUAAUCUGAUCUACCUAGGUUGGCCUCACUUGCAACUCAGCCAACAGACUUCUAUCAUCAUACAGACUCAGACGAGCAAACAUUGCUCUCAGAUCAGAUACAGCUCUACGACUUAGAGCAUCGGCUACCACAUUAGCCUUGCUUGGGUGAUACUCAAUCGAACAGUCAUAAUCCUUAAGCAACUCAAUCCAUCUCCUUUGCCUAAGGUUCAACUCCUUCUGAGUCAACAAAUACAAGACUCUUAUGGUCAGUGUACAUAAUACACCUUUCUCCGCACAAGUAAUGUCUCCAAAUCUUAAGUGCAAUUAUCACUGCUGCCAACUCUAAAUCAUGAGUCAAAUAGUUUCCCUUAUGAGGCUUAAGCUAUCAUGAUGCACAUGCAACCACCUUGCCCUCUUGCAUUAACACGCAGCCCAAACCCACGUGUGAUGCGUCACUAUACACAGUAAAAUCAUUCCCAGACUCCGGCUGAAUUAACACAAGUGCUUCAAUUAGAACUUUCUUCAACUUCUCAAAAGCUUUCUGCUGUUUCUUAGUCCAUACAAAUGGUACUCCUUUCCUUAUGUGUUUUGUCAGAGGUGCUGGCAUCACAGAAAAACCUUCCACAAACCUUCUGUAGUAUCUUGCCAGUCCUAGGAAACUCCGUAUUUCCGACACUGACCUAGGCGGCUUCCAUUCCAAAAUCACUUCAAUUUUCCGAGGGUCCACUUUAAUCCCCUCAGCAGAGACCACAUGUCCUAAGAAAGUUACCUCCCUCAACCAAAAUUCACACUUGCUAAACUUCACAAAGUGUUCCUUCUCCCUUAAUACUUACAGCACUAUACGGAGAUGCUCAUCAUGUUUCGUUUUAGUUUCAGAAUAUACCAGGAUAUCGUCAAUAAAGACGACUACAAUUGAUCUAAAAAUGGUUGGAACACAUGAUUCAUCAGAUCCAUAAACGCUGCAGGAGCGUUCGUUAGUCCAAAUGGCAUAACCAGAAACUCGUAAUGACCAUACCGAGUCCUGAAUGUCGUCUUUUGGAUGUCUGCCUCCUUGACCCUUAACUAAUGAUAUCCAGAUCGAAGGUCGAUCUUGGAAAAUAAAGAAGCUCCUCUAAGCUGGUCGAAUAGAUCGUCAAUCCUUGGCAGUGGAUACUUAUUCUUAAUCGUCAGUUUGUUCAACUGGCGAUAAUCAAUGCACAUCCGCAUCGUACCAUCAUUCUUUUUCACGAAUAGCACUGGUGCUCCCCAUGGAGACACGCUUGGCCUAAUAAAGCCCCUAUCCAACAACUCUUGAAUUUGAGCAUUUAACUCUACUAACUCCUUCGGUGCCAUCCUAUACGGUGCGAUAGACACAGACGCCAUUCCAGGCAACAAGUCUAUUCCAAACUCAACUUCUCGAUUCGGAGGCAAUCUUGGAAGCUCCUCCGGAAAAACAUCUUGGAACUCCUUUAUGGUCCUAACCUUAUCCACUGUCAGUCCCUCCUCUUCCGACUGACUUACAAAUACCAAUUAGGCCUCACAACCUUUCCAAAUCCACUUUUCGGCUCUUAAUGCCGACACCACAUUGGACAAAUAAUCCCUUCUCUCACCUAUCACCAUAACCUCCUCAUCCUUUGUAGUUCUUAACAUCAUUCGUUUAGCAGCACAAUCCAGAGUCGCCUUAUGCUUAACAAGCCAAUCCAUUCCCAGAAUGAGGUCAAACUCUCUGAACGGUAACUCCAUCAGAUCUCCAAGAAAAACCUUGCCUUGAGUUUCUAAGGGUACAUUCCUAUACAGUUUGUCUACCCUAAUCGAGUGACCCAAGGGACUUAGUACAGAUACCCCACUCACAAUCUCCUCAGAGCAGUCCAAGUUGUCCAUAAUUCGUUCUGUGGCCUCUAACCAAUAUUCUGCCACAUUCGGGGCUAUACCAGACACACCCUUAAAGAUCUCCGUUCCAUUAGUCCCGAAGUCAUUCAGAAAUAGAUCCCUAAUUUUGUUGCCCGAACUUGCUCCGGCAACCCUUUCCAGAACACGAAGCAUUGUCUGUGACAAGGCAUCAUCCUCGGCGGCCCGAUCAUAUGGCCCAUUCUCAUCCGUCGGUGGUGGUCGUGCUACUCCAGUGGGUAUGUGUUCAGAAGGCAAAGAUCCAGCUUGAGUACUACCUCGGCCUCGACCACGGCCUCUUCCCCGAGUAGCUCUCGUACUCAUAUCGAUUUAUCUUGAUUACGAAUUUUUAUGCAUCAAUUCAAUAUUCCAGUGUUUAUUACAGAUGUUUUAUGAAUCAGACAGUAAUUCAAAGUUUAUUUUCGCAGAAUCGAAGUCUAGCUACAGUUUCAGUCUCUUAUCAGAUUUUCCUAUGGUUUCAGAAUCAUCCUAUCUAGAGUAUCCUAGUAGGGUUUCAGUACAGAUAGAUAAUUCAGAAAAAUAUUCAGAAGAGUUCAGAGUAAUACUUACAGGCUUGAGCUGGAGAUUCAGAAUGCCACCUUCUAAAGAUCUAAAUUUUAAAAAUCGAGUUUUUCGCAUUCUUUAUAAAAUUUUCGCUUUCGAAAAUCUUUGUUUUUGUAACCCAUUCCACAGUCGAGUUGUUGCAACCUAGGCUCUGAUACCACUAAAUGUAGCACCCCAAACCCGACCCAGAAGUUAUGGCCGGAUCCGGCAUGCCACAUCAGAAACGUAAAAAAACAUUUCCAUUCUAAGUCCAGAAAAUCGUACUUGAUGUUCAAAAGAUUAAUUCAUUAAAGGUUAAAGUGAAUGGAAGCUGUGCACCAGGUAGGAAACCGGAAAAGAGGUGGUGAGUCCAUCGGACUGCUUAAGUACUAAGCUCCCUUCGGAUCCAAUCCUAGACAUGCAUACCGCCAUUGCCACACUUUAACGUCAUGGAUAUUUCUAGGAAACCGAUUUGAUUAAGUCAUUUUUAGGAAAAGUGAUUAAUUUUAGAAAAUACUUUCAUUGCGGAAGCUUUGCUUGUUGUCGUGUUAUUUUGAAAUCAACUGUUGUUUUUGAAAAUGCGCCCUAAAGCUAUCCAAUUUCAACAGUUAAAAUAAGUAUUACCUAUCUUAGUAAUACAUAUAAAAAAAACAUCAAAAAUAAAUAAGCGGCCUUAUUACAUUUAAAAACCCAAAACUUCAAACGUAAAUAAAAGGAUGUCCAGUUCACCAGAAGAAAAUCAAACUUUCAGAACAGGUGGCCACCCCGAAUUCCCUCACAGCUCCAAGCCCACUAUGGUUGGGGAUUACCUGCGUGGAUGAAAAUAAAAGGGGUGAGUUUGGGGAAACUCAGUGUGUAAAUUAACCCAACCAUAGCCUAUAUCAGCUUAAACCACAGAAAUAGAAUAAGUUGGCCUUAGCCCAGAACAGAAUUCAAAAUAAAUCCCAUAGGCCCAUAACAGAACAGAACAGAUAUUACAUGUUUAUGCAGAAACCCAACCAUAUCCAACCGUAUACACCCCCGUACCAACCUUACACCGUGUGGGGAGACAACUCGACCCACCCAACCGCUACACACCACAGAAUUUGCAGCAUGGCUGCUAGAACAGAUAAUGUGACAGUGUCACCAGAUACAGAUAAUCGUGGCAGAGCCGCCAGAACAGAUAUAUGUGGCAGAGCCACCAGAUCAGAUAUUUGUGGCAUAGCCACCAGAAUGCUUCCUCCAUAAUAUAACCCAUGUCCCCAUGCAAUAGAUAUAUAAUCAUGGCAUACAUCAUACAGAAUCAGAUCGUCAUGCUUUUCAGUCAAAAUUAACCCUAGGGGUAUAACGGUAAUUUUGCACCUAGGGGUAUAACAGUAAUUUUCCAUACAUAGGGGUAUUAUAGUAAUUUAGCUACUUUUAGGAUUUUCAUGCAUAUCCUAACUAUUUACGUACUAUCAGAACACUUACCGCACAUACUUACUGAAUUAGGCCCGUUGGCCCAUGAACCCGAUCUUUGGCCCAUUAAGCCCAAAUUAUCAAAAUGUACGAAAUCGCGCGUACUGCAGUUUAUUAAUUUAGAUUACCAAAUAUACAAACCCAACUAUCUUACGAGCAUUCGCACACUCGCAAAUUCCCAAAAUACUGACUUUUCGGCUUUUUGGCUUUUGCCAAUCUAGUCCAUGAGAGGGUGUCAGUUACACACCUGUUUGCGACGAUAUGCUGACGAGAUCCACACACGAACCGCCUACAAUUGGAUUACUAACACGUUAAUCUAACUAUUCAAAUACGAACUACGUAUUAACCCCUUACAAUAUUCGGCCAACCACACCUACAGAUCAUAGUAAGCUUAUAAGAAAUCAAGAAGCAACUCAUUAACAAAUUUUUGUCAAUGUUUACCACAUAAUCAUAAUUUCACUGCAAGUUGUCUUCCUGAGCAACAGUCACUAAAUUAUUUAUAACUGGAACUACGAAACUCCAAAUCAAGUGCCGUUAAUUUUCCCUGAAAAUAGACUCAUAUAUCUUUUAUCCAUAAAAUUUUCAGAAUUUUUGGUAUGACCAAUCAAUACCAUAUUUUUCUUAAAGUUUCCCAUGUUUCACUAUUUGACUAAUCUGACCACUCUUCAUUACGAAUCAAAUUUCUCAUUGUACAGAAUUCAAAAUAUGUUCUUGUUUAUUUCAUUAGAAACUAGACUCAAUAAGCUUUAAUUACAUAAUUUAUUCAGCUUCUAAUUCAUCUCCCACAAUUUAUGGUGAUUUUCCAAAGUCACGUUACUGCUGCUGUCCCAAGCAGAUUUUUUACCAAAUCACUCUUUCACACAUACCUUGCAUGCUUGUUAUUUAAACAUGUAUAUCACCAAUCAAUCAUCACAUAUCUAUGAUUUUAUUUAAGUAUAAUCUCCAUUUCAUCAUUUUAAAGCACAACACGUUAGCUGAUUUUUCCCUUUAACAUCUAAGGCACAUGCAUGCUUAUUUGUUUGGCUCAACUUCACCUAUCUUCCAUUUUUCAUCAAAAGAACAUGAAACAACAACCAUUUCCUUCAUUUUAAUUCAUGACUAAAUGCUCACAACACAACUAAAAAUCAAAAUAUACUUCAAGAGUUAAGGUAAAAUCAAGAAGAACUAAUGAACCUCAAAAUAGAAGCAAGGUACCAAGAACUUACCGUCAAUUUUCCUCCUCCUAAUGACCAAAUACUCAAGAGCUUUCUCCUCUCCUUUCUCUUCUCUAACUUUCAGCUAUGAUGAACAAAGAUGGACAAAACUUUGUUCUUUUCACCCAUUUUUCUUUUAAUAAAACUUCAUAUU
rnacentral:lncRNA from 1 species